GAUGAACGCUGGCGGCGUGCCUAAUACAUGCAAGUCGAACGCAGGAGCUCUAGCUUGCUGGCUCGAAGGAGUGGCGAACGGGUGAGUAAUACAUAAGCAACCUACCCAUGAAGACUGGGAUAAUCUCUGGAAACGGGGACUAAUACCGGAUAGGUAUUCGGAAGCCAUCUGGUGGUUAGUAAAGGUUAAAAACACUGGUGGAUGUGCUUAUGGCGCAUUGGUUAGUUGGUGAGGUAACGGCCCACCGAGACGAGGCGGCGCAGCCGUGCUGCGGGGGUGAACCCCCACAUUGGGACCGAGCCCCUGCCCAGACUCCUACGGGCGGCAGCCGUAGGGAAGUUUAGGCAAUGGAGGCAACCCUGACCGAGCAACGCCGGGUGAGUCAAGCCGGCCUUCGGGUUGUAAAGCUUUGAUGUAAGAGCAGAACGGUAGAUAGAGAAUCUCUAAGUGACGGUACCUUAUCAGAAAGCCACGGCUAACUACGUG
rnacentral:rRNA from 1 species